UUUCGAGCAUGUGCAACCCCUUCUCGGGGAAGCUCUCCUCGACCCCACGAACCCUUGACCUCAAAUCGGGUGAGACUACCCGCUGAACUUAAGCAUAUC
rnacentral:rRNA from 2 species